rnacentral:rRNA from 1 species
UAAUACUAAUUAUUAUAUAUUCUACUUUUUUCACUAAUUCUUUUGAGGAUAAGCUCAAAGAGAAAGUUAAGAUAUUUAUGAUUAUAGGCCGCCGUGUGGGCUUAAAAUUGGCCACCACAAAAGUUUGUUAUAAAAUAACGGUUUCAACUCAAAAAAUAAAUAUAUUUUAAUCUAACUUCUUACGGAAAUAAAAUCUUUAACUAAAGUAAGUUUUAUACCUAUGCUAGGAUGAGUAUUAUAAACUAAUAUUAAACAUGAAAAUAUUUCUUCAGUAAAAAUUAUUCAAACAAACUAAUUAAUUAAAAGGAACUCGGCAAAAUUAGUUGCUUCGCCUGUUUAUCAAAAACAUGGCUCUCUGCUUAUGUAAAUAUAGAGAGUCGAGCCUGCCCAGUGAAUUUUCAACGGCCGCGGUACUCUGACCGUGCAAAGGUAGCAUAAUCAUUUCCCUUAUAAUUGAAGGCUAGUAUGAAUGGUUUGACGAGAGCAACGCUGUCUCUUUUUUAUUUUCAAGAACUUAACUUUUAGGUGAAGAGGCCUAAAUUUUAUUGAAGGACAAGAAGACCCUGUCGAGCUUAAAAGAUAUUAUAAGAAGUGUAUAUAUUUUUAAAUAAAUUUUCUAUUCAGCUUUUUAGUUGGGGCGACUAAGGAACAAAAAAAGCUUCUUAUUAAUAAUAAAC